GACGAACGCUGACGGCGUGCUUAACACAUGCAAGUCGAAGGGAGUGGCGAACGGGUGAGUAACACGUGAGUAACCUGCCCUUUUCUUUGGGAUAAGCCUGUGAAACUGGGUCUAAUACUGGAGGGAUUGUGAUGGGCUCGCGGCUUGUCAGCUUGUUGGUGGGGUGAUGGCUUACCAAGGCUUUGACGGGUAGCCGGCCUGAGAGGGUGGUCGGGAAAGCGGGGACUGAGAUACGGCCCAGACUCCUACGGAGGGCAGCAGUGGGGGAUAUUGCACAAUGGACGAAAGUCUGAUGCAGCGAGGUCGUGUGGGGGAUGAGGGCCGUCGGGUUGUAAACUCCGUUCGCCAGCGGAAUGGUAGUGGGUAAAGAAGCGCAGGCUAACUACGUGCCAACAGCCGCGGUAAUUC
rnacentral:rRNA from 1 species